CCGAGUUCUAACAAACUCCCAAACCCCUGUGAACAUACCUACUGUUGCUUCGGCGGGACCGCCCCGGGCGCCUUCUCGGUGCCCCGGAACCAGGCGCCCGCCGGGGACACCAAACUCUUGAUUGUUAUAGUGGCAUUCUCUGAGUAAAACAUACAAAUAAGUCA
rnacentral:misc_RNA from 1 species